rnacentral:rRNA from 1 species
GGGUAACCGGAAGGCAUAUUUAGUGGCGAACGGGUGAGUAAUGCAUGAGAACGUAUCCUCAAGAGGGGGACAACAUUGGGAAACCGAUGCUAAUACCCCAUAAGCCGGGAGGUAAAAGGAGCAAUCCGCUUGAGGAGCGGUUCAUGUCCUAUCAGCUAGUUGGUGAGGUAACGGCUCACCAAGGCGAAGACGGGUAGCCGGCCUGAGAGGGUGAACGGCCACACUGGAACUGAGAGACGGUCCAGACUCCUACGGGAGGCAGCAGUGGGGAAUAUUGGGCAAUGGGGGAAACCCUGACCCAGCGACGCCGCGUGAGGGAAGAAGGCCUUAGGGUCGUAAACCUCUGUUGUGUGGGAAGAAGAGCGUGACGGUACCACACGAGGAAGUCCCGGCUAACUACGUGCCAGCAGCCGCGGUAAUACGUAGGGGACGAGCGUUGUCCGGAUUUACUGGGCGUAAAGGGCGCGUAGGCGGUCAUUUAAGUCAGCUGUGAAAUGGUGCGGC